AAUUAUAGAUUCUGCUUUCUUAAAUUCAUGCGUAUUAAUAUUGUACACUGCUUCUUACAUUCUUCCUAAACUUAGUUUCUACAUUCUAGUAUCAUUUGUAGUCUUGCCAAGUAAACCUUAUAUGAAGACCAUAAUAUUGAAGUUGGCAUAAAUAUGUUUGGAAAAGAGUAGUAGAAUUUGGCCUUGAGCAAACAUAUAAUAAAUGGAAUGAUACUGCAUUCUAAUUCUGUUAUAUCUUGCAAAUUUAAGUGUGUCGCCCUCCACCUGUAGGCUUUUACAUACUUGCUCUUUCUUGUUUGCAUUGUUCAUCUCGCCAAUAGUUCUCUUAGAACAUCAAGAACUAUUUGGCUUUUUGAUUUGCAGCUUAAGCCAAAUCUUGGCCAAGAGAAAGAUCCGAUGGCAGGAAUUAUGGAUUUGAUGAAGAACAUGUAUGAAGAAGGCGAUGAUGAGAUGAAGCGGACGAUUGCCAAAGCCUGGUCUGAUGCAAGAUCUGGAAAAACGGCUGAUCCACUAAAAAAUUACCCAUGAAAAUAGGAGCACGAGGAUGGUUUUAUCUUUAACCAUUCCAGCACAUCUUUGUUUAUUCAGCUGACAACAUGAACUUUGACUGUUGAACUCGUUUUAGCUUUUUCAUUAUGCUAUAAAUCGUUUAUUUGUUGAACUCUCAUUAUAACUUCCACAACAGAAAAUUUUAUGUUAUUUGCCUACUACCAAUGCAGUUUAACUGAUUUUACAUUGACUGAACAAGGUUGAUUUUAUUUAGGUCUAGUGAAAAUACUGAAGAAGUAUGACAAGAGAACAGGAGCACUUAUCAGGCAGCCCUUCAUCGAAAAGAAUGCGACGGACAAAAUGGAGUGCCAAAGCCGGCACAAUCAGGUGGGAGGGUUCCGGAGUUGGAGGAGAUUAAAUAUAUGCAGAGCUUAUACAUGAAGAGCACCGUAGCAGCGCUGCGGUCCUUGAAACAGAUUAGGAGCAAAAGUUCAACAGUCAAAACAGAUUAGAAAAU